AUUGGCUGCAGUAGGUUCACUGUAGGCGUAGGGUAUGCACCUAUAAGGAAUCUAUCGACCUUGAUAGAUAAGGAGAGAUCCUAUGUGAUUUAUAAGACUGAGUUCAUAAGACCUCGGCCGGGGCAGUAUGCACAGUGGAGAAAGAGUUUUCCACUCUCGAACUUAAGUCGAAUAAAUCUUCACAUAUGACAGACGAUGGGGUUUGACGAG
rnacentral:lncRNA from 1 species